CCGCCCAUCCGUCAGGAGCUCAGCAGACUUCCAAGUGUAGCCGGGGGGGAUGGGGAGGCAGCUGUAGUGGCCUCUAACCCACUGCUCCACUUCACUGCACCCAGAAGCCUGGGGGGUCCGGAACAGUCUGAGAUUUGGGCAGACUGUGCUGGGCACUCACCACAGGCUGAGGUGCCUCAGGAAGCUGCGAUGCCUCCCUGCUUGCAGAAGUAUUCAGUCCUUCAGACAAAGGAACGGGCUUCUGCAGGGACUCCGGAUCCGCCCAGCUCCUCCUCUCAGGUUUUUAUUCUUCACUCUUACAGGACAUGAACUCACAAAAGAUGGGAACCCACAAAUGGAAACUUGAAAAACCUCUUGGUUCCAGUCAUGAACUCUAUCAUCAUAUUCAAGACAUCUAUAAGGAAACGAUUUAUCUCUACUAGCAAUUUGAAUUCCAGUUCUUCUUAUUCCUUAAGCAAUUUACAUUGUUGGUGUAAAAUAAUCUUGGCAGGAAAUUUUACUUGUCCACUUGUAUUUAAUAAAUGGUAUUAAUCUA